rnacentral:lncRNA from 1 species
AAUCAAAAAUGCCGAGCUCAUGUACUUUUUUAGCAUCAUCGUCAUGGCCACAAUAGCGAUCUUUAGAUUUUGAACCUGAUUUGCUUUGGACCAUCUUUAUGUUUGGAUCUAGUCUCCAUAUUUUGAAUUCCGCCACCACCUCUAAUUUUUUAAACACAUCCAAUGAUAUACCUUGCAUAAAAAUCAUCACCUAUCCCGCCA